GAAAUGCGAUACUUGGUGUGAAUUGCAGAAUCCCGUGAACCAUCGAGUCUUUGAACGCAAGUUGCGCCCCAAGCCUUCUGGCCGAGGGCACGUCUGCCUGGGUGUCACAAAUCGUCGUUCCUCUCAUCCUUUUAGGACGUGGGACGGAAGUUGGUCUCCCGUGUGUUACCGCACGCGGUUGAUCAAAAUCCGAGCUAAGGACGCCGAGAGCGUCAUGACAUGCGGUGGUGAAUUAAAGCCUCUUCGUAUCGUCGGUCGUUCCAGUCCAUAAGCUCUCUUGAUGACCCAUAGUCCUCAAAGCGACCCCAGGUCAGGUGGGAUCACCCGCUGAGUUUAA
rnacentral:rRNA from 1 species